rnacentral:miRNA from 1 species
AGGUGGGAGGAUUGCUUGAGCCUGGGAGGUGGAGGUUGCAGUGAGCCAAGAUCGUGCCACUGCACUCCAGCCUGGGUGACAGAGUGACACCUUGUCUC